ensembl:lncRNA
CUAGUUUGCCAAAAAACAGAAGUCAGCUUUUUCCCCAGGGAGAGUUGACAGACACAGAAUUUCAACACAGAGAUACGAUAGAGCUGAAGACAAACACACACGUACACUGAAGCCACCGCUCUGCACUGAAGUCACGGCAAGGAGGUGGGGAACAAAGUGCACUGCAGUUUCAAGAGGAAAAAUAGCUGAGUACUGCAGAAUACUGCAUGCUUCUGCUGGCCCCACGGGAUGCAGAGGAAUCAUGCUGAUCCAUCACAGUGAUGCCACUGUCCACCACUAUCUCCCACAUCUGUGCUUUUAAAGGUUAAAAAAAUAUAUCAUGGUUUUGAGAAAGUAUACUUUUCCCCUCAUCUUAGAGUAGUUGGAAGUUUAUAGAAUCUCUAUACUUGCAGAGGUAAAGGCAGAGAUGAAUCGUUGUUGGACUCCAAAAUUUCUUUAGAGACUUGUCAACUCUGACUGCAAAGGACAAUCUGUAUUCUCCAAAACCUUGAGGAUCUCAACUAGAGGAAGAGGUAACACAGGAUGGGAAGUUCCAUCUUCUCCAAAAAUUCUGCCAGAGCAGGCUUCAGAAAGCAAACAUUUUUAGACAAGGAUAUGGGAACUGCGGGGACACAGCCACCUACCAAGGGCAGAGCUAAGAAUGAUGUCAUGGCCCUGUCCCCUCAGCAGGGCCCACCACCCAGGCAAGUGGUGCACAGCGGAGAUGUGCACUGGGAAGGCAGCCAGAGCCCAGUUGAACCCUGGCUUUGUCCUCAAGAGAGGCUCAGCUAUAAGGAGAGUACAAAGAACAGUGCUUGAGAUGAUGAAGGUCACUCCAAGGGCUAAACUACAUAAGAAAAAAAACAAAGCACCAACAUCAGCAUCUCUGCCAGUGCCAGAACCUGGCAACACACCUCUUGUUCUCUUGAAGAGCUCAUUCUUUUGCAAGCCUCAUGUGGAAGCUGCCAUGGAUGGGAUCAAAAUUGGGCACAAAUCCUGCACUGAAGUAUUGCAUCCCACGUCAAUGAUUGGAAUGACUUUUUUUUAAACAUCUGAAUACAGAGCCUUACAGGGGACUCUACAGAGUUCUGAAGGCAAAUAUCUUCCAUUUCCUUUUGAGAGUUCAUUAACAAUAUUUACCAUGAAUUGUCUUGCUCAAUAAAGCAAUUAGCAAUAAG